AUCAGUGAAACUAAUCUCCCCGUGAAGAAGCGGGGAUACUUAUAUAAGACGAGAAGACCCUAUGGAGCUUCAAACCCAACUACACCCCUAACUCUAUAGCCCCUCAACCACACUGGCCCCUGUAUAGUUGAUUUUAGGUUGGGGCGACCACGGAGUAAAACAAAACCUCCAUAAUGAACGGGCCUACCCCCUUAUCUAAGAACCACACCCCCUAAGAAUUAGAAUACUAACAUAAAAUGAUCCAUUAUUUGAUUAAUGAACCAAGUUACCCUAGGGAUAACAGCGCAAUCCAUUUCGAGAGCCCAUAUCGACAAAUGGG
rnacentral:rRNA from 1 species